rnacentral:rRNA from 1 species
GACGAACGCUGGCGGCGUGCUUAACACAUGCCAGUCGAACGGAAAGGCCCUGCUUUUGUGGGGUGCUCGAGUGGCGAACGGGUGAGUAACACGUGAGUAACCUGCCCUUGACUUUGGGAUAACUUCAGGAAACUGGGGCUAAUACCGGAUAGGAGCUCCUGCUGCAUGGUGGGGGUUGGAAAGUUUCGGCGGUUGGGGAUGGACUCGCGGCUUAUCAGCUUGUUGGUGGGGUAGUGGCUUACCAAGGCUUUGACGGGUAGCCGGCCUGAGAGGGUGACCGGCCACAUUGGGACUGAGAUACGGCCCAGACUCCUACGGGAGGCAGCAGUGGGGAAUAUUGCACAAUGGGCUGAAGCCUGAUGCAGCAACGCCGCGUGCGGGAUGACGGCCUUCGGGUUGUAAUCCGCUGUCGCCUGUGACGAAGCGUGAGUGACGGUAAUGGGUAAAGAAGCACCGGCUAACUACGUG